rnacentral:rRNA from 1 species
AGAACGAACGCUGGCGGCACGCCUAACACAUGCAAGUCGAGCGCCCAGCAAUGGGAGCGGCGGACGGGUGAGGAACACGUGGGAACAUGCCUUUCGGUUCGGCACAACUGCGGGAAACUGCAGCUAAUUCCGGAUACGCCCUUACGGGGAAAGAUUUAUCGCCGAAAGAUUGGCCCGCGUCUGAUUAGCUAGUUGGUGAGGUAAUGGCUCACCAAGGCUUCGAUCAGUAGCUGGUUUGAGAGAACGACCAGCCACACUGGGACUGAGACACGGCCCAGACUCCUACGGGAGGCAGCAGUGGGGAAUCUUGGACAAUGGAGGAAACUCUGAUCCAGCGAUGCCGCGUGAGUGAUGAAGGCCUUCGGGUUGUAAAACUCUUUUACCAGGGAAGAUAAUGACUGUACCUGGAGAAUAAAGCCCCGGCUAACUUCGCGCCAGCAGCCGC